AUUGAACGCUAGCGGGAUGCCUUACACAUGCAAGUCGAACGGAGUGGCGAACGGGUGAGUAAUGUAUCGGAACGUGCCCACUAGCGGGGGAUAACUACGCGAAAGCGUAGCUAAUACCUCAUACUAUUGGAGCGGCCGAUGUCGGAUUGGCUAGAGGGUGGGGUAACGACUCACCAAGGCGACGAUCCGUAGCUGGUUUGAGAGGAGGACCAGCAACCCGGGGACUGGGAAACGGCCAAGACUCCUACGGGAGGUAGCAGUGGGAAAUUUUGGAAAAUGGGGGAAACCCUGAUCCAGCAAUCCCGCGUGUGGAAUGAAGGCCUGCGGGUUGUAAAGCACUUUUGGCAGGACAGCGGUACCUGCAGAAUAAGCACCGGCUAACUACGUGCCAGCAGCCGCGGUAAUAC
rnacentral:rRNA from 1 species